ACAGAAGAAAGUGGACACACUGGAAAAAUGGAAUAACAUUGCAUAAAAUAAAUUUUCAGCUAAAUCCAUCAAAACUUCAAGGGUGAGUUCAUAGAGUUCAGGAAGCCAUUCUGUUAACAUAAUAAUAAGAAAGAUUGAGAAAUAUAUUGAGUGUAUCAGUAAUGACAACAUAAUUCAAUGACCGAGUUGGAAAGAGAGUUUUCACAUGGACUGCCAGGUAUUGGACUGGGCUAUGGGAAGCCCCACAAGGCAGUUAAUUGUGUUAGGUAUGCUAUGCUACAAUCACUUUUUUGCUGGCAGUCCAUAAUGCACAUUAUGAAACAGUAUUUCAUAUUGUAGUGAUGUGUGUAAUAAACAAAUUCAUUGUUUCAUAAAAUAAAUUAUUAGCGAAGAUGGAGAUAA